rnacentral:rRNA from 1 species
AUUGAACGCUGGCGGCAGGCUUAACACAUGCAAGUCGAGCGGGGUGAUGGUGCUUGCACUAUCACUUAGCGGCGGACGGGUGAGUAAUGCUUAGGAAUCUGCCUAUUAGUGGGGGACAACAUCUCGAAAGGGAUGCUAAUACCGCAUACGUCCUACGGGAGGAAGCAGGGGAUCACUUGUGACCUUGCGCUAAUAGAUGAGCCUAAGUCGGAUUAGCUAGUUGGGGGGGUAAAGGCCUACCAAGGCGACGAUCUGUAGCGGGUCUGAGAGGAUGAGCCGCCACACUGGGACUGAGACACGGCCCAGACUCCUACGGGAGGCAGCAGUGGGGAAUAUUGGACAAUGGGGGGAACCCUGAUCCAGCCAUGCCGCGUGUGUGAAGAAGGCCUUAUGGUUGUAAAGCACUUUAAGCGAGGAGGAGGCUCUUUUGGUUAAUACCCAAGAUGAGUGGACGUUACUCGCAGAAUAAGCACCGGCUAACUCUGUGCCAGCCGCCGCCGUAA